CACGUAGGCACCAAGCGUUAUCCGGAUUUAUUGGGCGUAAAGAGCUCGUAGGCGGUUCGGUAAGUCGGGUUUGAAAACUCUGGGCUCAACCCAGAGAGGCCACCCGAUACUGCUGUGACUAGAGUGCGGUAGGGGAGCGGGGAAUUCCUGGUGUAGCGGUGAAAUGCGCAGAUAUCAGGAGGAACACCAGCGGCGAAGGCGCCGCUCUGGGCCGUAACUGACGCUGAGGCGCGAAAGCGUGGGGAGCGAACGGG
rnacentral:rRNA from 1 species